AUUAAUGUAGCAUAAUAGUGCGGUAAACUUAAAAUUUACAAAUGAUUAAUAAUCCGUUAAUA
rnacentral:tRNA from 1 species